UACGUAGGGUGCGAGCGUUAAUCGGAAUUACUGGGCGUAAAGCGUGCGCAGGCGGUUUGCUAAGACCGAUGUGAAAUCCCCGGGCUUAACCUGGGAACUGCAUUGGUGACUGGCGGGCUAGAGUAUGGCAGAGGGGGGUAGAAUUCCACGUGUAGCAGUGAAAUGCGUAGAGAUGUGGAGGAAUACCGAUGGCGAAGGCAGCCCCCUGGGCCAAUACUGACGCUCAUGCGCGAAAGCGUGGGGAGCAAACAGG
rnacentral:rRNA from 1 species